GACAGAGGGUGCAAACGUUGUUCGGAAUUACUGGGCGUAAAGCGUGCGCAGGCGGUUUUGUAAGUCUGUCGUGAAAGCCCCGGGCUCAACCUGGGAAUUGCGAUGGAGACUGCAAGGCUUGAAUCUGGCAGAGGGGGGUAGAAUUCCACGUGUAGCAGUGAAAUGCGUAGAGAUGUGGAGGAACACCGAUGGCGAAGGCAGCCCCCCUGGGUCAAGAUUGACGCUCAUGCACGAAAGCGUGGGGAGCAAACAGG
rnacentral:rRNA from 1 species